rnacentral:rRNA from 1 species
UACGUAGGGUGCGAGCGUUAAUCGGAAUUACUGGGCGUAAAGCGUGCGCAGGCGGUUUUGCAAGCCGGAUGUGAAAUCCCCGGGCUCAACCUGGGAAUUGCAUUUGUGACUGUACGGCUAGAGUGUGUCAGAGGGGGGGUAGAAUUCCACGUGUAGCAGUGAAAUGCGUAGAGAUGUGGAGGAAUACCGAUGGCGAAGGCAGCCCCCCUGGGGAUAACACUGACGCUCAUGCACGAAAAGCGUGGGGGAGCAAAACAGG